rnacentral:lncRNA from 1 species
UCAUUUUAGCACUGUGGAAAUGAAUGCUAAAAUCAAUAGCUCAAAAUCAAUAGCUUUUCACAUUCUUAGUAAUCAGUAUUGCUUAUUUUUAUUUUGAUAUUUUGCCAUCGUUUAAAAUUCAACAUGCAAAAAAUCAAACUCAGCAUAUUAUUCUGUUACCCAGUUCUUUGGUAUCUGUCAGAAACAAGAGCAUUCUCUCUAUUAUCCUGGGUCAGAAUCUGCUUCCUUUUUUCACUCCCUAUUUCUGAUUAUUCCCAAGUAUUUUGAUCUUUCCUUUGGGAGAUUUCUUUGUAUCUGUCUCUUCUUGCUGGAAUAUUAGGCAUUCUCAACUCUGCUUCCUGUGAGUCCUGGCCAGAUGUCCGUUCCAUGAGUAUCCCAGUCCCCAAUAUUGAAUGGUUUCCUAUCUACUUGUCUUCACAUCCUUUGUUCGUUUGUUUUUCCUCUAUUAGAAUAUAAACACCUCUAAUGCAAGCACAGUGGCUUAUACUCCUGCCACCACUGACAACCGAUUUCAGUUUUGUGUCUGGGGUAGACACCCUAUGAAUUUAUCAAUUCACUUGUCAGGAAACAGUCCCCACAUUUAUAUG